rnacentral:sRNA from 1 species
AUAAGUAGAUGAAAUAUCUGCUUUGAUUUAAUACUCUCUAUCUCUUUCCUCUUGAUGUGUGUGUGUUUGGGUGUGGCUGUUGCCACCCCUUUUUUUU